GACGAACGCUGGCGGCGUGCCUAAUACAUGCAAGUCGAGCGAAUCGAUGGGAGCUUGCUCCCUGAGAUUAGCGGCGGACGGGUGAGUAACACGUGGGUAACCUGCCUGUAAGACUGGGAUAACUUCGGGAAACCGGAGCUAAUACCGGAUACUUUCUUUUCUCGCAUGAGGGAAGAUGGAAAGAUGGUUCUGCUAUCACUUACAGAUGGACCCGCGGCGCAUUAGCUAGUUGGUGAGGUAACGGCUCACCAAGGCAACGAUGCGUAGCCGACCUGAGAGGGUGAUCGGCCACACUGGGACUGAGACACGGCCCAGACUCCUACGGGAGGCAGCAGUAGGGAAUCUUCCGCAAUGGACGAAAGUCUGACGGAGCAACGCCGCAUGAGCGAAGAAGGCCUUCGGGUCGUAAAGCUCUGUUGUUAGGGAAGAACAAGUACGAGAGUAACUGCUCGUACCUUGACGGUACCUAACCAGAAAGCCACGGCUAACUACGUGCCAGCAGCCGCGGUAACAC
rnacentral:rRNA from 1 species